rnacentral:tRNA from 6 species
CGCGGGGUGGAGCAGCCCGGUAGCUCGUCAGGCUCAUAACCUGAAGGUCGUAGGUUCAAAUCCUACCCCCGCACCCA